AUUGAACGCUGGCGGCAUGCCUUACACAUGCAAGUCGAACGGUAGCACAGGAGAGCUUGCUCUCUGGGUGGCGAGUGGCGGACGGGUGAGGAAUACAUCGGAAUCUACUUUUUCGUGGGGGAUAACGUAGGGAAACUUACGCUAAUACCGCAUACGACCUACGGGUGAAAGCAGGGGACCUUCGGGCCUUGCGCGAUUGAAUGAGCCGAUGUCAGAUUAGCUAGUUGGCGGGGUAAAGGCCCACCAAGGCGACGAUCCGUAGCUGGUCUGAGAGGAUGAUCAGCCACACUGGAACUGAGACACGGUCCAGACUCCUACGGGAGGCAGCAGUGGGGAAUAUUGGACAAUGGGCGCAAGCCUGGUCCAGCCAUACCGCGUGGGUGAAGAAGGCCUUCGGGUUGUAAAGCCCUUUUGUUGGGAAAGAAAUCCAGCUGGCUAAUACCCGGUUGGGAUGACGGUACCCAAAGAAUAAGCACCGGCUAACUUCGUGCCAGCCGCCGCAGUAA
rnacentral:rRNA from 1 species